rnacentral:rRNA from 1 species
GGGUCAGUAGGUUGGUCGUGCCACCGGUACGUACUGGUCUCACUGAUUCCUCCUUCCUGAAGAACCGUAAUGCCAUUAAUUUGGUGUUGCGGGGAAACAGGACUGUUACUUUGAAAAAAUUAGAGUGUUUAGAGCAAGCUAACGCUUGUAUACAUUAGCAUGGAAUAAUGAAAUAGGACGAUCGAUCCUAUUUUGUUGGUUUCUAGGAUUGGCGUA